rnacentral:rRNA from 1 species
UACAGAGGUCUCAAGCGUUGUUCGGAUUUAUUGGGCGUAAAGGGCGCGUAGGCGGCGGGGUAAGUCGGGUGUGAAAUCUCUGGGCUUAACCCAGAAAGGUCAACUGAUACUGCGGGGCUAGAGUGCAGAAGGGGCAACUGGAAUUCUCGGUGUAGCGGUGAAAUGCGUAGAUAUCGAGAGGAACACCCAUGGCGAAGGCAGCUCUCUGGUCGACCUCUGACGCUGAGACGCGAAAGCGUGGGGAGCAAACAGG